UACAGGGGGGGGCAAGCGUUGUUCGGAAUUACUGGGCGUAAGGGGCUCGUAGGUGGCCAACUAAGUCAGACGUGAAAUCCCUCAGCUUAACUGGGGAACUGCGUCUGAUACUGGAUGGCUUGAGUUUGGGAGAGGGAUGCGGAAUUCCAGGUGUAGCGGUGAAAUGCGUAGAUAUCUGGAGGAACACCGGUGGCGAAGGCGGCAUCCUGGACCAACACUGACGCUGAGGAGCGAAAGCCAGGGGAGCAAACGGG
rnacentral:rRNA from 1 species